GCCGCUGAUAAAUAUGAUAGAUUCUUCUGCGUACUGAAGAUUAGCACACGCCCUACUGUGUUGUCGUCUGUUAGUUGAUUAUUGGUCCAAGUAAUUAUCUUUUUAGAGUAUACUUUUAUUCCACAUCUUAAGAUUAUACUUGGUUAUAAUAUUAUUUGUAUCAUGAUUUAUUGGUACAGCAGACAAUUUUUUAAGGUUACAAAUUGAUUUUUUUUAAAUAAAUCUAAC
rnacentral:lncRNA from 1 species